CAUUUUUUUUUAAUCUAUAAUAACUCAUUAUUAUUUGCACAUAAUUUUUUUUUUGUUUUGCUUUGUUUUAAUGUUGAUUGCAAUCGAUUGUUCUUUGUGUUCUAUGUGAUGGAAGAUUGGAGGUCAUAAUUUGGUCCUAACUGCAGCGUUUAUAUUACCCUACUUCACAUAUUUUCAUCAUAAUAUGCAACUCUUCAAUUUUGUCAUGCAAUGAUGAGGCUAAAUCCUGGUAGAUCUAACGGAGGCUUAUAAUAAACACCUUAAGGGUCCUGGUAGAAAUCUUACACAUUGGCCAAAACUGCUCAAGAAAUCUUCAGAUUAGUGAACAGAUAAGAUUCUGCUGAAGCUAAAUACUCUGUACCCAAAUUGGGUUAAAGAAACUGACAAGUCUACUACCUUUACAUAUGUAAUAUUGCAACAUGAACCCUAAAUAAUUUAAUCGUUGAUAAUUUUGCCUUUACUUGUGUUCUUCGUACUGGUAGAGAGUUUCAUGACCUUAUAUGGUAAUACUCUUGUUUGUUGUGUGAUUUUUUGCACCAUUUAUGUAUGCUAGGGCACUCCCUUCUCCAAUAUUAAAAUAGACAUCUCAGGUCUUUUAGCUAAUUGUUAUUAUGCAGGUAAUAGAUUCUCAGCUUACUUAACUACUUCAUCAUCCAGGGGAAAUAUUUUAAUGCCUUUUGCAAUAUUAUUUCUUUUAGUCGAUACAUAUCUGCAACUCAAAUUGCUAUCAUGUCCCUGAAUAUAUGUAAUAUGAAUUACAUAAAAUUAAACUGGGAUAGUAUAUAUGAUUAUUUUACUUGAAUUUCCGGUUACAACCUUAUAGGUAACUGACCGCCUAAUUCUCUCUCUUAUACUAAUAGUUCCAUAUAUUUUUCAUCCAGGAAACACAAAUAUAUGCCCAGGAAAACGGUCUUUUUUUCAUGGAAACCUCUGCAAAAACUGCUACCAAUGUCAAUGGCAUUUUCUAUGAGAUCUACAGAAUAUAAAUCCUGAAGGCAAAAAUGAGUCAUUUUUACUAUGACUGCCCCUCUCGGCCCUCUUAUUUACAAGCCCUGCCAUUACUCAAUAAUGUAGUAUAAUGUCUGACACAGCAUGCUCAUUAAUUAUGCAGACCUGUGUGUAAUUGAUGAUUACUUUUUCUGCUGCAAUUGACUCAUGCACCACUAUGUUUCCUCCCCUUUCAGAGUAACUUUUUAUCUUUCAAUUUCAAAUUUCAAAUUUCAUUGUUAUGUAUUUGUUCUACUUCUCCCCUGGAAACCCUCUUCCCAUUGUCGGUUGAAGCUCUUUCCUCAAUCAGCUUCUCCUUAAUAAACGAAGCAUCUGUGUAAUGGAUCAGGUAACGAUCUUUCAUGUAUAAAUAUAGAUACGCUGUUUACAACCGUGUUUUGAUUAAAUGACCUCUGUUGCACAGCGGAACAAGAUUUUCGAGUCUGAUGGGUUGUACCAUGGCCGGAGGUCUGAUGAUUUUAGUUUGGAUUCCUCUCUGCACUCUGGUGAAUGCUUUGCCUGUUUAUUGAGUCUGAUUUUGAUUAUGAUUUUGUAUUUUUAGGCGUUUGAUUUAGUUCUUUGUAUUUUCAGGUGCUGCAGUCCUGAACAGCUCAACGCUCAAGUAUUGACUGUGGAAACGUGAAAAGCAUUAUGUGAUCCUUUCAUUAAUGGUAAUGCUGAAUUGCUAGAUUCUUCAACCUCAUAAUCGGUGGGGAUAAAAGAUGCAUAGAUUAGAUUCCGGAGCAAGGACGAUGCCAGGUAUAUCACCUGAAGCUCAAAACAAACUAUACAGCUACUUUCAGGUACAAAAGAUUAUAUAUACACAUAUACGAAUGAUUCCUGUUGUCAGAUUUCUGCAAUUGUUAAAGUUUCUAAAUAUAAUCAGGAUGCUGCAAAAAUGAGAAGUACAAGGCAUUUGACAGAUACGGAUGAAUAUGUCAGUGGCAACAAUGAAGGCAUGCUGGCUGAUGUUGUUUCUAUUACAACUGCAUAUCAAGAAAAUGAAAUCUCUUUGUAUGAACAUCAGGAAUGAGAUUUUUACUGAUAUAGAGAUCCACAAUCAACAUAUACUUCCCAGGUACUCCCUCCGUCCCAGCCAAUUCUUUACGUUUGGUUUGGGUACGGAGGUUAAGAAAUAUGUAUAAAGUAGUGGAAAAGAGGAAGAAAAGAGGGUGAAGUGGUGGGACCCAUAAAUUUUUAAUGAAUAAAAGAGAGAUAGUGGAGUAAAAGUAGUGUGAAAACGGAGUAAAAGUAGUGUGAAAAGGAAGGAAAAGUUGGGAAGUGGUGGGACCCAUUGACUAUUUUUGGUAAGUUUUGGAAUGUAAAGAAUUGGAUGGGACAUCCCAAAAAGGAAACUGUAAAGAAUCUGGUGGGACGGAGGGAGUAACUUAUAUUAUCUUCACUUUACUUCACGUAAACAGAUAAGCUGUACUUUAUUUACAGAUGAAGAUCCAACUUUUCCGAAUAAAGAUCAUUGCAGUACUCCAUGAGCCUGAUGUUUAUCUGUUUUAACCAAUAUUUAUGCAGAGGAAUCCUCUAUUUAACCAAUAUUCAUGCAGAAGAGUCCUCUAUAAAGAUCUAAUAUUAUUUUUAUACAAUUUUUAGGUAUUCAUUCGUGUUAUCAAUGACAGAGAUGAACUUGAUGGAAAAUCUAAAUAAGUGAUAUGAUAUCUGACAGUUCUAAACUGCUAUAAUUUGUAGCUUAGAUAUGUGAUAGUAUUUGAGUUAACUAUCAUAUUAUGACACUUAUGGUGGUAUUUCACUGAAGCUAAUUCGAUUCAUUUUUAUUGAUAGUAUUGUGUGUAAAGUGAAGCUACAAGUUAGUGUGCAACUGUCGCAAACACAUAAUAUAGAUAGAAGCAUCACAAGUGUCUGGCCAACAAUAUAAAAUAUUGUUUUGGUGUGUCGUCACACACAAGAGAAUUCAAGAUAACACUAUAAAAUUAGUUUGAGCUUUACAUGAAAUUCCUCCUUGCUUUGAUAUAUGUAUACAUAAUCCACAGUCAAUGUGUCUACGCUGUAUAUGAGUAUAUAUAGGCUAAUGAGGCACAAGAUGGUCAUUACAAGCGAAAGUUCUUGGAAUUCAAAGCAAAAAAGAAGUUUUCAUUUCCGAUUUUUUAAUGCAAGGACAAGUCAUCGUGGAGAAGUUUAGUGAGCUAACAUAAUAAAUGAUGGUGAAAACAAGAUGAAGGUCAGAGUAUUCUUAUUCGGUGCGCGUCAUGCUCUCUCACUCAUGCAACUAUGCAAAAGGUAAGUUGAUGAGUCUGAAGAUUUCAACAAAGAGAUCCUGAACCUGAAUAAAGUGUAGUACUCUAUGAGAUUUUAUGGGGUUGAGUGCUCUCUGAUGAUGACUCAACAGAGUCAUAGAGUAUGCGCCAUAUGUUCUAAAUGUGGAUCUGUUUGAAAGUUUAUAUUUUUGAUAUUUCGUGUUGAAGUAUGUGUAAUAGACGAGGAAAUAUAUAACACUUCUACGCGGUGUCCCAAAUUUAUGUUGCAGAUAUGACAAGCAAGAAAUAUACUACUAAUAAACCAAUAUAAACAGAAGUAGUUAUAGAAUUUUGAAAACAUUCCAUACAUUGUUUUUUGAAUGAAAUUCAUGAAGAUACUUUCAGUAAAAAACAAUAAAUUUAAAAAGUUAUUUUUUGAAGACUAAUAUUUCUCGAUUGAAACGGCAUUCUUAAUCAAGAUAUGUUUUUCGAUUAACUUAUUUGAGAAAUAUAAGGUUUCCUCAUGUUAUAUUUAAUUAUUUUAAAAUUGACUUAAAAUUUUAUUUGAGAUAAUGUAAUUAUAAAUAAAUUAGGAGUUAAUUUAUCAAGAUACAUUUUUCCAAGUGAUUAAUUUAUAUCGAUAAUUACUAAAUAAAUAAUAAAUAUAAUUAUAAUUUUAUUUGGUUAUAUGGUUUUAUUAUAUUGCUAAAAACGUACAAUAUUUAAAAACUGAGGAUAUGUUAGUCUCUUUCGCUUUUUAUAAUGUUAUUUUAAGGUUUAUCACGUAACACUUUUAAUUAUUAUUUGGGUUGAAAUAUGAAAAUAUUUUUUGAAAUAUGAAAAUAUUUUUGUAUUCAUUUUCACACAUAUUAUCUUCUGAUAUUUUAUUUCAAUAUUCAUAUAAAGUGAUUCUUUAUAUUAAUCAUUAAUUUUUAUUCAACAUUUUGAUAACUACAAAAUGUAUGUAAAUUAUUGUUUGCUAUAAAAUUUUAAAAUAUAAAACAUUUGACUAAAAUGCGAAUCGUCGCUUCGCGUAUAAAUCAUUUUGAUUAUAAGAUAUUAAAUAUUCGAUUAAAGGGUGAGGUGUCGCCGCUAGGCGGUGCCGAGAAGCGACUUUUUAUAUACUAAAAAAUAUUACGUAUUUCUCGAAUAUAAAUAAAUUUUAAUUCAGAAUCAACUUUUAUAAAUGUUACGUUAUUCGCGAACAUAAAUAUAUUAUAUAACAAUUAAAUAAGAUAAAUAUUACGUUAUUUGUUCACAAAUAUAGAUUUAUGAGUAUAUCAUAAUUUCAAUAAUUGAUCAUAUUUAUUGUGAGAUUGUUUUGGUUUUUUAAUAAAUAUUUUUAAGAUAACUAAAUAAAUUUAGAAAAUCGAUUCAGUAAGUUAUAUCGAGAUCAUUAAUUCUGGAUGAACCAAUUUACUCGGAGAUUGUAGUUGUUUUUUUAACUAUAUAAACCAGCUUUUCAACAAGUGAUUAUUUCAUAAACAUUACAAAAACUAUUUUCACACUGUACCUUAAUAGAUUUCUCCUAAACUAUUACAUAAUAGCACUUGCCAAAAAUAUUCUGACGAUAACCGGGCACAAUUUCUUAAAUAGAUAAUAUCUAUUGCGAUAGUAAUUAUAAUAUUUAAUUUAUAAUCAUUGUAUCAUUUUAAUUGCAUGAGCAAGGUCUGAUCAAAGGCAUAGGUACCAGUAAAAUAAGCCUAAAACUUCAAAUAUCUCAAUAAAAUUAAUAUUGAGUUUGACUCAACAUGAAAAUUUCAGUAUCUCAAUAAAAUUAAUAUGAAAGUAGCGUUGUGAAAUAUAAAGAGUAAGAUUAUUAUUAUUACCAUACUAAUAAAUUUAAAAGAUGUUUUCCAUAAUUUAAAAAAUAUAAAUUAAAAGUUAAAUAUAUAUUCAAAAACUCCAAAUGUUUUGUGUAUUGAAGAAAAGAGAAUGUGAUAUAAAGUAGAGAAUUAAUAUAUAUAGAACUAAACUCUUAAUAAAGAAUAAUACAAGGUUACUCAAUUACAAUUCAUUUUCAACAACUGAACAGGAAGUUAGUAAGAGGCCCAUUUCAUAUGCUACGUACGGCCUGUUAUAUUUUUUGCCCAAUUAAUUCGUUAUAGGCCCAAACAUAAGUCCACUACAUUCAAUUAUUUUCACAGCACAUAUUCAAAAGCUUCUCUGUACAGUUUGUUUAAUACAUCUCCCUCGAGCACUCACGGAGAGGCUUUUCUCUGGGCUUUUGUUUAACAAAUUUCCCUUUCAACUCUUUCACAGACCUGAGUAAAAAUAUACCGGCGGUAGCCGGGCACAAGUCCUAGUAGGUAUAUUUUCUUUAUUUUAUAAAUUAUGGAAUUCUGAGUUAUAAAGAUGUACACCUUGCAAAUUUAUACAUUUAAGUUAUGGAAACUGACAUCUUGGUUGCUAAAAUUCUUUGAUGGUGUUGAUUUGGUUCUGUAUGACUAGUGUUCUCAAAUUUGCUACGCGGCUAAACUACCUUCUAGCAGUUAAUUGGGUAAUAGGGAAUUAAUAAGAGCUUUAAUAGGUUGUAUUCUACUCCUUACAUGGCUUGUCCUUAUUCUUUGCUUGUCAUCAUGUUGGAGCAUUGAUCUAUGUAUUUUUGUCUCCGCACAGCAAAGAGAUUGCCCCGGCUGCAGCCAGUGGCCAACCCAUCUGGGAUGGUUCUUACCGGUAGGUCUGCUGAUAGAGCUGUUUCCACUUCUUGUUGCUCUUGAGCUUCUGUAAUGGUUCUAACAAUUGCAUC
rnacentral:lncRNA from 1 species